UUACUAAGAAAAUAAAGAGAAAGUGUUAUUAUCUUUAGAAAAUCAUUUAUUUUAUAAAAAAUAAUGAUUUUUUAAAAAAAUGUUGGCCAAAUUUAUUUAGAAAUUAAAAUGACUUUAGUGAACUGCUGUGAAAAAAAAGAUGGCGGAAAAUGUAUCAGGAACUUGUGUUGAGUGUUAAUAAAUAGUGAAGAUAAUUGUGGGUUAUUUAGAAUCAAGUUAGUCCAAGUUAAUGUUUUACCAACGGAAAGUGUUAAGAUCAGUUUGGUGAACACCUCCGGACAUCUUGGCCAUAAAUUGUUUUGCAAAGCAAAUUGGCGUGGAUAACAGAUAAAUUAGAGAUUCUUACCAUUUAUUUGUGUUUUAUAAUUCCGGGAAAUUCUAGGGAAAAAAUUGUCUCCUGAAUUUGUAUACUUGAUUUCGUUUACAAAUUACAGGAUUUUUUAAUGAUCUGGUA